UCAAAUAUGCUAUACUACUAAGUGUAGAAAAGUUUAUGGCGGUGGCUACUUCUGGAGGAGGUGGUGCUUAUGUAUGUAAGUGCUAAAUCUAUGAAAGGAGAAAGCCGUUUUGUCAGCAUUAGAGACAAUCCAGUUACUAAUCAGCUUUAGCAUGUUUGUUAUUGCGUUAGUACACUUGGU
rnacentral:sRNA from 1 species